rnacentral:lncRNA from 1 species
AUAUUUUAUACCUUUUUUUUUUUCUUUUUUUUCAUUUAGAUCCGCUUUUUUAUCUAUUUAUAUCGCUUAUGCAAAGUAUCCUGCUUUAAUAAAUUUUCUAGAUACAUUUUUAGAUAACAAAUCAAACAAACAAAAGAAACCAAAAGAAAGAAAAAAAAGAAAAAAAAAACGCAAUAACAAAGAAACGAAAAAAACAAAGAAAAUUAUUCCUCGGCAAGGAGCAACAAGUCCUGUGUCUCUGUCUCUGUGUGUGUUUCCGUCUGAUCUGCAUCCCCCAAAUUAAAUCUUAAGGAAAGCCCCGUACGAUUCUGAGAACUGAUUCCGAUGAAACGGAUAUGCGUAAAACGAUUCGAAGCCAAGCAGCAA